ACCCUACAUGAAAGAUUUCAGUUGCAAGAGUUGAAACGCAUCAUGAGCACCAUCAAACCCACCCUCAAGCCACAGAACAAGAUAGCGAGACUAAAGUUCUGCCUAUCCAUGAUUGAUCAAAGAUGGAUAUCAAGUCCUUGGCCUAGAUUCAAGCCAAUGAAAAAUAUCAUCCAUGUAGAUGAGAAGUGGUAUGACAUGACUAGGUUGAAGAGUAGCUACUACGUACUGCCUGGAGAAGAAGAACCAAAUCGAACUGUGCACAAUACUCAUAGCAUUGGGAAGACCGAGGCACAACGAACAAGCCACAACAGAGAUACGGGGACAAUAGAGUUGAGACCAGUGAUAGUUACCAGACCUGUGUGUAGAGAUUACUUGAUCAAUAAAUUAAUCCCUGCCAUUCAAGACAAAUGGACUGGCGGUGACGAGGACACAACGAUUUUCAUUCAACAAGAUAAUGUAACACCGCAUGUCCUCCCUAAUGAUGUCGGUUUUCUAGAAGCUGUGGCACAGACAGAUCUGGAUAUUCGACUAUUGCAACAACCACCGAACUGUCCUGAGCUCAAUGUGUUAGAUCUUUGUUUCCACUGCUCCCUCCAAUCCCUAACCGACUGCAGAGCACAUAUGAAUAUCCAGGAAUUGGUACAAGGUGUAGAGGAGGAGUUUAAGAACUACGAUGCCCAUAAGUUGUUCAAAAGCUUUAUGAUGUUGGAAGCAGUCAUGGUCGAAGUGAUGAAAGAUCAAGGAGGAAACAACUACAAGAUGUCGCAUCUGCAUAAGGAACGUCUACAGAAUGCUGGAGAGGAAAUAAUCGGUGUAUACUGCAGUCCUGAGCUAAUUACU
rnacentral:rRNA from 1 species